rnacentral:rRNA from 1 species
UGCUGGAGGUAUCAGAAGUGCGAAUGCUGACAUAAGUAACGAUAAAGCGGGUGAAAAGCCCGCUCGCCGGAAGACCAAGGGUUCCUGUCCAACGUUAAUCGGGGCAGGGUGAGUCGACCCCUAAGGCGAGGCCGAAAGGCGUAGUCGAUGGGAAACGGGUUAAUAUUCCCGUACUUGGUGUUACUGCGAAGGGGGGACGGAGAAGGCUAUGUUGGCCGGGCGACGGUUGUCCCGGUUUAAGCGUGUAGGUGUGUGUUCCAGGUAAAUCCGGUUCACUUUAACACUGAGGCGUGACGACGAGGCACUACGGUGCUGAAGCAACAAAUGCCCUGCUUCCAGGAAAAGCCUCUAAGCAUCAGGUAACAUCAAAUCGUACCCCAAACCGACACAGGUGGUCAGGUAGAGAAUACCAAGGCGCUUGAGAGAACUCGGGUGAAGGAACUAGGCAAAAUGGUGCCGUAACUUCGGGAGAAGGCACGCUGACACGUAGGUGAAGUGAUUUACUCACGGAGCUGAAGUCAGUCGAAGAUACCAGCUGGCUGCAACUGUUUAUUAAAAACACAGCACUGUGCAAACACGAAAGUGGACGUAUACGGUGUGACGCCUGCCCGGUGCCGGAAGGUUAAUUGAUGGGGUCAGCGCAAGCGAAGCUCCUGAUCGAAGCCCCGGUAAACGGCGGCCGUAACUAUAACGGUCCUAAGGUAGCGAAAUUCCUUGUCGGGUAAGUUCCGACCUGCACGAAUGGCGUAAUGAUGGCCAGGCUGUCUCCACCCGAGACUCAGUGAAAUUGAACUCGCUGUGAAGAUGCAGUGUACCCGCGGCAAGACGGAAAGACCCCGUGAACCUUUACUAUAGCUUGACACUGAACAUUGAGCCUUGAUGUGUAGGAUAGGUGGGAGGCUUUGAAGCGUGGACGCCAGUCUGCGUGGAGCCAACCUUGAAAUACCACCCUUUAAUGUUUGAUGUUCUAACGUGGACCCGUGAUCCGGGUUGCGGACAGUGUCUGGUGGGUAGUUUGACUGGGGCGGUCUCCUCCUAAAGAGUAACGGAGGAGCACGAAGGUUGGCUAAUCCUGGUCGGACAUCAGGAGGUUAGUGCAAUGGCAUAAGCCAGCUUGACUGCGAGCGUGACGGCGCGAGCAGGUGCGAAAGCAGGUCAUAGUGAUCCGGUGGUUCUGAAUGGAAGGGCCAUCGCUCAACGGAUAAAAGGUACUCCGGGGAUAACAGGCUGAUACCGCCCAAGAGUUCAUAUCGACGGCGGUGUUUGGCACCUCGAUGUCGGCUCAUCACAUCCUGGGGCUGAAGUAGGUCCCAAGGGUAUGGCUGUUCGCCAUUUAAAGUGGUACGCGAGCUGGGUUUAGAACGUCGUGAGACAGUUCGGUCCCUAUCUGCCGUGGGCGCUGGAGAACUGAGGGGGGCUGCUCCUAGUACGAGAGGACCGGAGUGGACGCAUCACUGGUGUUCGGGUUGUCAUGCCAAUGGCACUGCCCGGUAGCUAAAUGCGGAAGAGAUAAGUGCUGAAAGCAUCUAAGCACGAAACUUGCCCCGAGAUGAGUUCU